rnacentral:piRNA from 1 species
UAAGAGCAAUGGGCAGGGAAGGAA